rnacentral:rRNA from 1 species
UACGAAGGGGGCUAGCGUUGUUCGGAAUUACUGGGCGUAAAGGGCGCGUAGGCGGUCCUGAUCGUCGGAUGUGAAAGGCCUGGGCUCAACCUGGGAACUGCAUCCGAUACGGCGGGACUGGAGUGUGGGAGAGGUUGGUGGAAUUCCCAGUGUAGAGGUGAAAUUCGUAGAUAUUGGGAAGAACACCGGUGGCGAAGGCGGCCAACUGGACCACAACUGACGCUGAGGAGCGAAAGCGUGGGGAGCGAACAGG